UACGGGGGGGGCAAGCGUUGUUCGGAAUUACUGGGCGUAAAGGGCGCGUAGGCGGCCUUGUCAGUCAGGCGUGAAAGCCCCGGGCUCAACCUGGGAACGGCGCUUGGGACGGCGAGGCUGGAGUUCGGGAGAGGAGAGUGGAAUUCCCAGUGUAGAGGUGAAAUUCGUAGAUAUUGGGAAGAACACCGGUGGCGAAGGCGGCUCUCUGGACCGACACUGACGCUGAGGCGCGAAAGCGUGGGGAGCAAACAGG
rnacentral:rRNA from 1 species